GUUUCAGUAAUGGUGUCAGGUCUUGGGGCCUCCCCUUGAGCUGGAUCCCCAUUUGGGCCUGUCACUGGACCCUCUUUUCCUCAGGCUCUUCUCCAUUUCCGUUCCUGCAUUUCUUUCAGAUAGGAAGAAUAAUGGGUCAGAGCUUUGGCCAUGGGAUAGCAACUCCAUCCCUCACUUGAUUUGAUGCCCUGUCUUUCCGCUGGAGACUGAGAGCUACAGCACUGACUUUCCUGAUAUUAAAGCAUUCAGAGCUGUACUGAGCUGGGCUCCAGUGUCCUUGGGUCUCCAGUUUGCCAAUGAUCUUGCCAUUAUACAACUGUAAGUCAACUCCACUAAUCUUCCUCCUGGAUAUCUAUGUCUACGCUGUUGGUUCUGGUGCCAGAGUCACUGACACACUGGGAGUGCAGGCGGCAGUAGGCCUCUGUAAAUAAAUUCAUACACCAGGUAGGAUGUGUUCCCACUAACGUCAUUGAUCUCUUCUCUGUAUCUUACAGCUUAGUCCAGAGGCUGGAACCUGAGGACAGAGUGGACUGCCAGAAUCCAUGGAUUGAACCAAGGAUGGGAGACAACACUAACACUGAGUCUCUUAGCUAUGGUGCCAGAAGCUCUGAGAGGCACCAAUCACAAGCCCACUCUUGUGGCUCACUUAGGAGUGGAAGCCCUCCUCCUGUGAAGCCUAAUGAGAGUCUCUCUCUGACCUCUGAGUAUCCAUGUGCUCCCUGGGCAGGAGACAAGCAAGGGGAAGUUCUAUUUCUGCCUCUUCCUAGUUAUAUAGCUCUGAACAAGUCAGAAGAGAGCCAAAGAACUGACCAGAGUCAUCAUCAGCUCUAAUAGGGCUGCUCCAUGCAGGCACUGGCACAGGAACUCAGUUACUUCAACUGUGGGCAUUAUUUAUCCCGUCUGCUCCAAUCCCAGGAGCAAUGCUCCAAAUGAUCUCAGGGACUAUCCUGAAUGCAUCUAGGGAUAAGCGUGUUUGGGAAAUUGGACCUCUCUACAGCUCUGCCCCGGCUCAGGCCAGAUCCUAAGUAGUGGGGGUGGCCAUGCAGGUGGACUGGGGGCUGCUGUGGGCUAGCAUCUAACUAAGAAGAGGCCUGUGGAGGUGGGAAGCUGGCUCCAUGUCUCCCAAGUGGGAGCUUGCCUGGAUCUCAGACAGUCCUGCCUUUCUGGUUUGGGCUUCCCGGCUUUUGCUGCUGUCCUCCGGGGCAAGCUAUUUUAGGUAGCAGUCAAAAUAAAACUGAGAUUAACCCAGAAUUCUUGGCAGUCAAACAAUACCAUAAUUAUGUGCUUUUUAAGUUCAGAAAUGAGGCAUCUGGCACUGACCCACCAGGGUUUGGGGGGCGCCUUGAGGAUAAUAAGGCCUGCGUCUUGGGCCCUGUCACCUUUACACAUCCUUAGUCAUGGGCAACCACUAUAGAACCAUAGCUCUCUUCGAGGUGUUACUUUUGUCUCCAGAGACUCAUAUUGCCAGAAGAAUGGUGUAACUUGCUUGCACACCAAAUCCUGGCCCGUUGGACGGGUGAUUUAUUAUUCAUUUCUAUAUCAUAAGUCCUCUCUCAAAAAGUCCUGAUCCCAGUGGCCCCAGGGCAGUGAGCGAACAGAGAAGCUUGUGUUCUAGGGCUGAAGAUCAGGGCAGGAAUUCACUAGAGGAGUAUGUGUGCACUUUGAGGAGUGCAGACCCCAGAAUCCAGCAAAUAGGCCCCUUCCUCUUUGCUGGGCGCUGAGGGGGAGGCGAGGGGAUUAGACCUCUGAGAGCAAAAGCCUUUACUCCAGACAAAAGAAUGGGAGAUUCAAAUAGACGGGAGGGGUCAGGAUGAUGUCAGCAAGGUCACUGCCUGAAGAACAGUGGCCACAAGCGGAGGCUUUGGGCAGAUCUCUGAGCUUCCUCAAAAGACUUCAAAUUCCUGAAUGAGAUAAAAAGAAAAUAGAGCUUAGUUCCAGGUGUGUCCUCAGAGGUGUGAUGGGGAAAAGACAUAAUCAUCCCUCAACGCCAACCUGGCCCUAGGGACAAGGAGUUUCUGGACAAUUAGCAGGAGUGCAGACCUUUUAGACAGAAAAGUGGUCUAAAAGGAGAUUAAGUUAGGAAGCCCUCCCUGUUGGCUUGGAUGAAAGCAGACACCUAGCUGGUGACAGCCCUGGGAGUAGGUACCUCACAUUCAAGGGAACAUCAUGGGGGAGGUCCUGCCUCUUUUCUCACCAGUCAUGGCUACCGGCACUUUUGCUGCUGACUGUUGCUGGAGACUCUUUCCCUCUUAAGUUUUUACAAGAUCUUCCAUUACUCCCAUGGCCAUGAGUCUGCUCUCUGGGGAGGGUCUCCUAAAGAUGGAGUCUUAACUUUUGCCUCGGCACACACACACACACACACACACACACACACACACACACACACACACACACACACCCCUGAAACAUCUUUCAUGGCCUCAGGAGGCAGAAAGAAUAACCACUCUUGGGAUGCUGUUUCUAUGACCGGAUAUCCAGAGAGAUGAACUUAGAUGAGAGAAAGGGCAUUGAGUUUUCUCUAGGAGGGAGAUGAGAAAACACGGUGAUAACCGGUGAGGGAGGCUAGGAGUUUUAAGCAGGUGGGAUUGGAAGGCAGGGCCUCUGCCGUUGCUUGGACUCAGCCGAUGUGCUUCCCACACAGAAGAAGGGCUGUCCAGUUCUCACUUCCCUGUCUUGUGUGCUGUCUAGUAGGAAGGAAUCGUGGCAUCUAUAAUGAAAGAAAAAAGCUGCCCCAAAAUUAGCCACAUCCCUCUGGGGACUUUGUGGCAAUAUCUUCUAGGCUUCUGGAGGCCUAGAAGGAAUGGACUGACCCCUGUCAAGGGCAGAGGGACUUGGAUGAAUAGGAUUGGUGGCAGUAAAGUGAUAAACAAGACCUAAAUGCUCUUCAUUGGGCUGUAGUUAUGGCUUGAGAAGACCAUAAAAGGGAGGAGAGCUCACAGAGGGGAACACAGCCCUCUCCAGAUAGGAAGCUGACUAGCUUCUAGUGUCUAGACCUCCAUGUCUGCCUCCCAGCUGGGAUGUUUGUAAAGAUAGAGGUCCCAUUCGUUAUAAGUGGGCUUCCUGGGCUUUUGUCUGUUGCUAACCUAGGGCAAUUGUCUAGAACUGUGCCUGCUUGGCAGUGAUAUCUUAGGAAAACCUAAGGUGCAUGGACACAAGAGCACCUCCUUUGCUGGACUGAGACAGAGCAACAUCAUUGGGCAUGCAAGCAGCACUUGCAGGCUCCAAAAGCUGUUUUAAAUUCUUUCUAGUGCUAGAUGGGUACAUUAAUGAUCACCGGUAAGGAAAUGUCCAUGUCCUGCUGGUACAGUGAGGAUGUGUCUACAGCUCCCCUCCUACCUCCUGGCUUGGGUGCCAGAGAACUCUCCUCUGAAAGGUACUUUAGAUGAAGUUAAGGUGUGAGCCCUUUCUCUAGGAUGGCCUCAGAAACAAUGGCAAAGGUCUCAUGAAAUGUUGCCUCCAAAGCCCAGAUGUUUGUCUGUUUGGUGAUUCUAGAUCCUGUCAAUCAAUACUAAGAAUGACAUGGUAUAUUAAUUUGAUUGUAGUCUAAUUUAUUAGUUUUUUAUUAGUAAUGUUAUCUUACAUAAGAAUUUCCUUUGUACUAACAAACCAUAAACACAUUAAGUGUUUAGUUAGAAGGUUUAGUUUUCCCUUUGACAUUUAGGUCUGUGCUAAAUUCUUAGAUUAGGAAUUAGCAUUUGGGUGUGGAUUAAGGGUUCUACUUCUUCCCUAGUAACCGUGGGUUGUAUCCUCAUUUAUUUACCAAACCUGUUUUUUUUUUUCCUCAGAGAUGUACAACUUUGCCUCUGUCCUAUGUGGAAAUUUCACGAAUAACUCAGUCUGACCCUGGACUCUUUGUUCUGUUCCAUUGGUCAACCUUUCUAUCCACACACAAGAACACGUUGUCUUUGUCCCUUUGCGAUAAGUUGGUGCCUGGUAGGAGGGAGGUAGGAAGAUGCUGUCUUCCAACCUCUUCAGGAGUUCUUCACUAUUCUUGGUCAUUUAGAUUCUACUGAAAUUUUGGAAUUAUUUUGUCAAUUACCUCAAAAAUCUCUGUUGGGAUUGUAGUGGAAUUGUCUUGACUCCAUUGUCCUGAAAUCUACUAAGGUUACCGCACAGCCGAAAAAUAAACGAUGCUGAGUCC
ensembl:lncRNA